UCCUAGCCCUAAACUAUGUUCACUAGGUGUAAUAGAUAUCGACCACUAUUGUGCCGCAGCUAACGCGUUAAGUGAACCGCCUGGGAAUUACGAUCGCAAGAUUAAAACUCAAAAGAAUUGACGGGGGCCCGCACAAGCGGUGGAGCAUGUGGUUUAAUUCGAUGCUACGCGAAGAACCUUACCUGGGUUUGACAUGCUGGUAGUAAAAGCCUGAAAGGGUAAUGAGCCUGUUUUACAGGAAGCCAGCACAGGUGCUGCAUGGCUGUCGUCAGUUCGUGUCGUGAGAUGUUUGGUUAAGUCCAACAACGAACGCAACCCCCAU
rnacentral:rRNA from 1 species